ACUCCUACGGGAGGCAGCAGUGGGGAAUAUUGGACAAUGGGCGAAAGCCUGAUCCAGUCAUGCCGCGUGUGUGAAGAAGGUCUUCGGAUUGUAAAGCACUUUAAGUUGGGAGGAAGGGCAGUAAGUUAAUACCUUGCUGUUUUGACGUUACCGACGGAAUAAGCACCGGCUAACUCUGUGCCAGCAGCCGCGGUAAUACAGAGGGGUGCAAGCGUUUAUCGGAAUUACUGGGCGUAAAGCGCGCGUAGGUGGUUUGUUAAGUUGGAUGUGAAAGCCCCGGGGCUCAACCUGGGAACUGCAUCCAAAACUGGCAAGCUAGAGUACGGUAGAGGGUGGUGGAAUUUCCUGUGUAGCGGUGAAAUGCGUAGAUAUAGGAAGGAACACCAGUGGCGAAGGCGACCACCUGGACUGAUACUGACACUGAGGUGCGAAAGCGUGGGGAGCAAACAGGAUUAGAUA
rnacentral:rRNA from 1 species